rnacentral:tRNA from 2 species
GAAGGCUUGGUCUAGUGGUAAAACAACAGGCCUUGAAACCGAAAGUCACGGGUUCGAGCCACGUAGUUUUGA